AUGACAGUUGUAAGCUGGAACUGCCGGGGUAUUGGGCAGCCCCGGACAGUUCAGGAGCUUGUGUGCCUGGUGCGCACUUACUCAUCUCUAGUUUUUAUUUCGAAAACUAGGAAGAGCGAGGAUUAUGUCAAUAAAUUGUGUAGGAGACUAGGUCUCAGGCACUGCAUCUCCCAUGUCCGGAAAGGAAAGGGUGCUGGUAUAGCUCUCUUCUAUGAUGAGCAAGUUGAAAUAAAGAAACUCGUUGUUGGCCCUCGUUACAUUGAUGUGUUGAUCCGUCUUAGCCCUCAUGCCCAGCAAUGGAGGGGCACCUUUGUCUAUGGUGAACCAAAAUCAAGUGAGAGACACCACAUGUGGGAUCUCCUAAGAAGAAUCAGACCAAAUGCAAACGAGCCAUGGCUAAUGCUUGGAGACUUUAACAAGACAGCUUGGCAACAUGAACACCUAUCCAAAACCCCAAGAAAUGAAAGAAAUAUGGAAAACUUCAGAGAUGUACUCCCUGACUGUAACUUACUUGACCUCGGGUAUAGUGGGCCAAAUUGGACUUAUGAUAACAAGCAACAGGGAGAGGAGAAUGUGAAAGAAAGAAUCGAUCGCAUAGUAGCAGAUCUUAGAUGGGGCAGUUUGUUCCCGGAAGCAUCAGUUGAACACAUUUGCUCUUCAAGAUCUGACCACCUCCCUUUGCUUCUUAGGUUUGGACAGAGGAAGGAAUGGUGA
rnacentral:rRNA from 1 species